UACGGGGGGAGCAAACGUUGUUCGGAAUCACUGGGCGUAAAGGGCGUGUAGGCGGCUGGAUAAGUGGGAUGUUAAAUCCCCCGGCUCAACCGGGGACCUGCAUCUCAUACUGUUCAGCUCGAGCACAUCAGAGGAGACUGGAAUUCCCGGUGUAGAGGUGAAAUUCGUAGAUAUUGGGAAGAACACCAGUGGCGAAGGCGGCUCACUGGCCCGUAACUGACGCUGAGGUGCGAAAGCGUGGGGAGCAAACAGG
rnacentral:rRNA from 1 species